CUGGGCUGGGGGCGCCGCCGCCGCAGCUGCGGGGCCAGCAGGCGGCCGGGAGGGAGGCAGGGCCCAGGACGCGUGGUGGCGACAGGUCGCGUUUGGCCCCAGGGAUUCCUUACCCCAGUAUUUGCGGAGUAUCCACUACAUGGGCAGUCUGUUCUGUGACGGCGCACUUGAGCUUCCCGCCCUCAAGGAACUUCGGCUCAUCUAGAAAAUAAGGCACCAGUCAUCACUUUGUAACGGGCUGUGGGGUCACCUUCUUUUCCUCUCUCCUGCCACCCCAAGUCGUCUGAGUUGCGUGUUAUACAGUGGGAGAGCACGUUGGCCUGGAUCUCAAGCUGCCCACGUUCUAGUCCUGCCUCUGUCAUUUCCUAGAUCUGU